UACAGGGGGUGCAAAAGUUGCUCGGAAUCAUUGGGCGUAAAGCGCACGUAGGCGGUUCGUUAUGUCGGAUGUGAAAGCCCUUGGCUUAACCGAGGAAGUGCAUCCGAAACUGGCGAGCUAGAGUACUAAAGAGGAUCGCGGAAUUCCCGGUGUAGAGGUGAAAUUCGUAGAUAUCGGGAGGAACACCGGUGGCGAAGGCGGCGAUCUGGGUAGAUACUGACGCUGAGGUGCGAAAGCGUGGGGAGCAAACAGG
rnacentral:rRNA from 1 species